GUGAGGAAUAUUGGACAAUGGGCGAAAGCCUGAUCCAGCCAUGCCGCGUGAUAGAUGAAGGCCCUCUGGGUUGUAAAUAUCUUUUAUCUGGGAAGAAACUCCUCUAUUCUUAGAGGCCUGACGGUACCAGAGGAAUAAGCACCGGCUAACUCCGUGCCAGCAGCCGCGGUAAUACGGAGGGUGCAAGCGUUAUCCGGAUUCACUGGGUUUAAAGGGUGCGUAGGCGGGUUGAUAAGUCAGUGGUGAAAGCUCCGGGCUUAACUUGGAAACUGCCAUUGAUACUGUCAGUCUUGAAUGUCGUAGAGGUAAGCGGAAUGUUGCAUGUAGCGGUGAAAUGCUUAGAUAUGUUACAGAACACCAAUUGCGAAGGCAGCUUACUAUGCGAUAAUUGACGCUGAGGCACGAAAGCGUGGGGAGCAAACAGGAUUAGAAACCCUGGUAGUCC
rnacentral:rRNA from 1 species